GGGUUGUGAGGUUAAGCGACUAAGCGUACACGGUGGAUGCCCUGGCAGUCAGAGGCGAUGAAGCCAUAGGUUAAUGAGGCGAACCGGGGGAACUGAAACAUCUAAGUACCCCGAGGAAAAGAAAUCAACCGAGAUUCCCCCAGUAGCGGCGAGCGAACGGGGAGCAGCCCAGAGCCUGAAUCAGUGUGUGUGUUAGUGGAAGCGUCUGGAAAGGCGCGCGAUACAGGGUGACAGCCCCGUACACAAAAAUGCACAUGCUGUGAGCUCGAUGAGUAGGGCGGGACACGUGGUAUCCUGUCUGAAUAUGGGGGGACCAUCCUCCAAGGCUAAAUACUCCUGACUGACCGAUAGUGAACCAGUACCGUGAGGGAAAGGCGAAAAGAACCCCGGCGAGGGGAGUGAAAAAGAACCUGAAACCGUGUACGUACAAGCAGUGGGAGCACGCUUAGGCGUGUGACUGCGUACCUUUUGUAUAAUGGGUCAGCGACUUAUAUUCUGUAGCAAGGUUAACCGAAUAGGGGAGCCGAAGGGAAACCGAGUCUUAACUGGGCGUUAAGUUGCAGGGUAUAGACCCGAAACCCGGUGAUCUAGCCAUGGGCAGGUUGAAGGUUGGGUAACACUAACUGGAGGACCGAACCGACUAAUGUUGAAAAAUUAGCGGAUGACUUGUGGCUGGGGGUGAAAGGCCAAUCAAACCGGGAGAUAGCUGGUUCUCCCCGAAAGCUAUUUAGGUAGCGCCUCGUGAAUUCAUCUCCGGGGGUAGAGCACUGUUUCGGCAAGGGGGUCAUCCCGACUUACCAACCCGAUGCAAACUGCGAAUACCGGAGAAUGUUAUCACGGGAGACACACGGCGGGUGCUAACGUCCGUCGUGAAGAGGGAAACAACCCAGACCGCCAGCUAAGGUCCCAAAGUCAUGGUUAAGUGGGAAACGAUGUGGGAAGGCCCAGACAGCCAGGAUGUUGGCUUAGAAGCAGCCAUCAUUUAAAGAAAGCGUAAUAGCUCACUGGUCGAGUCGGCCUGCGCGGAAGAUGUAACGGGGCUAAACCAUGCACCGAAGCUGCGGCAGCGACGCUUAUGCGUUGUUGGGUAGGGGAGCGUUCUGUAAGCCUGYGAAGGUGURCUGUGAGGYAUGCUGGAGGUAUCAGAAGUGCGAAUGCUGACAUAAGUAACGAUAAAGCGGGUGAAAAGCCCGCUCGCCGGAAGACCAAGGGUUCCUGUCCAACGUUAAUCGGGGCAGGGUGAGUCGACCCCUAAGGCGAGGCCGAAAGGCGUAGUCGAUGGGAAACAGGUUAAUAUUCCUGUACUUGGUGUUACUGCGAAGGGGGGACGGAGAAGGCUAUGUUGGCCGGGCGACGGUUGUCCCGGUUUAAGCGUGUAGGCUGGUUUUCCAGGCAAAUCCGGAAAAYYAAGGCUGAGGCGUGAUGACGAGGCACUACGGUGCUGAAGCAACAAAUGCCCUGCUUCCAGGAAAAGCCUCUAAGCAUCAGGUAACAUCAAAUCGUACCCCAAACCGACACAGGUGGUCAGGUAGAGAAUACCAAGGCGCUUGAGAGAACUCGGGUGAAGGAACUAGGCAAAAUGGUGCCGUAACUUCGGGAGAAGGCACGCUGAUAUGUAGGUGAAGUCCCUCGCGGAUGGAGCUGAAAUCAGUCGAAGAUACCAGCUGGCUGCAACUGUUUAUUAAAAACACAGCACUGUGCAAACACGAAAGUGGACGUAUACGGUGUGACGCCUGCCCGGUGCCGGAAGGUUAAUUGAUGGGGUYAGCGCAAGCGAAGCUCUUGAUCGAAGCCCCGGUAAACGGCGGCCGUAACUAUAACGGUCCUAAGGUAGCGAAAUUCCUUGUCGGGUAAGUUCCGACCUGCACGAAUGGCGUAAUGAUGGCCAGGCUGUCUCCACCCGAGACUCAGUGAAAUUGAACUCGCUGUGAAGAUGCAGUGUACCCGCGGCAAGACGGAAAGACCCCGUGAACCUUUACUAUAGCUUGACACUGAACAUUGAGCCUUGAUGUGUAGGAUAGGUGGGAGGCUUKGAAGUGUGGACGCCAGUCUGCAUGGAGCCGACCUUGAAAUACCACCCUUUAAUGUUUGAUGUUCUAACGUKGACCCGUAAUCCGGGUUGCGGACAGUGUCUGGUGGGUAGUUUGACUGGGGCGGUCUCCUCCUAAAGAGUAACGGAGGAGCACGAAGGUUGGCUAAUCCUGGUCGGACAUCAGGAGGUUAGUGCAAUGGCAUAAGCCAGCUUGACUGCGAGCGUGACGGCGCGAGCAGGUGCGAAAGCAGGUCAUAGUGAUCCGGUGGUUCUGAAUGGAAGGGCCAUCGCUCAACGGAUAAAAGGUACUCCGGGGAUAACAGGCUGAUACCGCCCAAGAGUUCAUAUCGACGGCGGUGUUUGGCACCUCGAUGUCGGCUCAUCACAUCCUGGGGCUGAAGUAGGUCCCAAGGGUAUGGCUGUUCGCCAUUUAAAGUGGUACGCGAGCUGGGUUUAGAACGUCGUGAGACAGUUCGGUCCCUAUCUGCCGUGGGCGCUGGAGAACUGAGGGGGGCUGCUCCUAGUACGAGAGGACCGGAGUGGACGCAUCACUGGUGUUCGGGUUGUCAUGCCAAUGGCACUGCCCGGUAGCUAAAUGCGGAAGAGAUAAGUGCUGAAAGCAUCUAAGCACGAAACUUGCCCCGAGAUGAGUUCUCCCUGACUCCUUGAGWSUCCUGAAGGAACGUUGAAGACGACGACGUUGAUAGGCCGG
rnacentral:rRNA from 1 species